UACGUCGGGACCAAGCGUUGUUCGGAUUUACUGGGCGUAAAGGGCGCGUAGGCGGCGUGGUAAGUCACUUGUGAAAUCUCUGAGCUUAACUCAGAACGGCCAAGUGAUACUGCAGUGCUAGAGUGUGGAAGGGGCAAUCGGAAUUCUUGGUGUAGCGGUGAAAUGCGUAGAUAUCAAGAGGAACACCUGAGGCGAAGGCGGGUUGCUAGGCUGACACUGACGCUGAGGCGCGAAAGCUAGGGUAGCAAACGGG
rnacentral:rRNA from 1 species